UGAUGAAGAAGUUUUUAUGGAAUGCGUAAAUGCUACUGGCUUCCUGUGCGUGGAUAAGAGAUCACAAGGGAUUCCGAAGCAGUAUUUAAUGAGCUCCGAGGACAUGGAACACAGUGAGCGGCUACACAUAGACUAGAACGUAGAUAAGGGACCCAACGCAUAACACCUCGGAGGGGUGUAUGCCCCUACUGGGCAUAGUGACAAACAACCAAUAAUCUACAGAUUGCUCUGUGGACGAGACAGGAACUGAAGAGGAGGAAUUUUCUUAUUCUUCCCGUGUUCAAAAAACAUCCCAUGCAGGCGUAAUUCAACCAUAUAUGUUCCAACCGGUGCGACGUCGAAUGCAACACAAGGACGGGAUUUGUCGAGACCUGACGAAGUUGACGUGGAACGUCCAAAACACAGACUGGAGACGCACCAGAGCCUUGGCGAUCACCCCGACCUCCGCUUUGGGGGCGAGAUGAAAGUAGAGCUGAGCCACGGCCAUCACCACCUGCAGCGCACCGAUGAAAAGAUAAUGAAGAGUUUGGCUACAAAAGGAGGGGCUUGGUGUUCCUCAGCAGCAGCCGGUGGUCCGGAUCCAUCACGUACGGCUUCCUCUUGGCCAAGGCGGCGGCCUCGGCCUUCUUCUGCCUGUCCUCCUCGUCUUCCUCGUCGGCGUCGUUGCCG